CCUGUGACUCUGUUGGCUGUGCUGUCCAGUCCCCCACUUCGCAGAGGGAUUGCCUGCGGCGCUCACCUCUCGCCGUCUCCGCCUCUCCGGAGACGGCGGCCACCGCGCGCCCGCCUCUCGUCGGCGCCGUGCCUCCCUCAACGGCCACCACCUUUGCGGGCGCUCCCAUCGUACUGCGUGGCUGCUGCCAGAUCCAGGCCGUCAGGAUCUACCCCCCGCCCUUCUCGUCGGAGGGUUAGGGUUUGUGCGACCCGGCGACGGCGAGCGAGGUCUCUCACCCGCGAAAGGGGGGGGGGGGGGUGGCGCGUACCUACAGAGCCCUCCGAGUUUCGCGAGCACAGUUCCCCGCAGGGAGAGCGCAAGCCCGAGGCUGUUAUAGCUACAUAGAAGGACAACUGAUACGGUGUUAGGUCAUGGAGGAGAUUCAUGGCAUGCAAGAAUCAAAGACUGCAUCUGUCAUCAAAGUUGCCAGAGAGCCUGCCGUCAUUAUCAAUGGAGUUCCAGACUUGCCUCCUGAUGUAGCAUCCGAAUCACAACCUGAGCCACGUAAUGCUGCAGAACCUCCUGUUGAUCAUCGUUUUGGUGAAUUUCUAGAAGGGCGGAAAGUAAGGAAACCUUUUGGGGACAAGCAUUUUGUAGGGAAAGUGGACAAGUAUGAUAGUGAAAGUAACUGGUACAGUGUUGUCUAUCAAGAUGGAGACCAGGAGGAUCUCGAGUGGAAGGAAGUGGAGGAGAUCAUGCUGCCAUUGGACAUAACUAUCCCGCUGAAAACACUUAUUUCGGAUAAAUUCGCACUUCAAAAUACAGCUCCUGUCUUCAAACCUAAGGUGGGUAGACCAAGAAAAGUCUAUGCUAUAACGGAUGGCAACACAAACAAUGCUAUGGAAGAUCAGAUGAUGACUGGAGCGGCAAAUGAACAUCAAUCCAAUAACUUACUAGCGUUGGUUCCAGCAUCUACAUCCAACGAUGCAUAUGUUAACGCUAGUAGUCAACCUAGAAAAAGGGGCAGGCCUCGAAAGGAUGCAACUAUGUAUCCUCGAAAGGAUGCAACUAUUCCUGCCAAUACUCAGCCUAAAAGAAGAGGCAGGCCUCCAAAAAACAGGAACUUGUCUGGAAAUGCUCAGAGUGCUGAAUGCACACCACAAAAUAGUGUUCUUAUACGCAAUGCACAGACAGUCAGGGCAGAAAAACUGGCGAAGGCAGAAAGACUGAAGAGAGAAAAUAUGCAUGCUCAAGGCGCACCACCUGGAACUCAAUUUUUCUAACAUGCAUUCCCACUGUUCCAAUACAUAUAUCUGUAAACAUUCCAGAAUCUAUGCACGAUGGUGACACUAGCUUUCAACAUAUAUUUUGUACAAUCCAUCGUAGAGCAAAACUUGUAAGACUAUAUUUGCUAUCCCAAUGCUAUCGUAUUUCUUUCCUAUACAAGUAUAUGCAGUCUGUUUAGACGUCCUUUGGUACGGUCUUAAAAGUUUUCCUUGUGGAAGUGGAAUCUAGUUGUGGUUGUCUGGCUGAAUUCUUUUGAAAGAUCCUUGAGUUGUUUCGUGAGUGUAGGGGAUCCACAAUAGAAAACACCUGCAUAUUUAUGGAUUUGUUAACAACCGUUACUGCAAAGCUCAAAAUUGUUGCAUCGACGAUGUUCGCUGAAAAAAGAGGCUCACCUAUGCGUGAGUUUUUGUGGGCAUUCGCCAAGUCAGAGAACACCUUUCUCCAGUUAGGCCUCGCAAAAUGUGUGCGAAUCUGCAACAGAUCAAUCAGAAAUAAGAGGAAUACACUGGAAAUAAAUAAGUAUUUCAGAUAGAAGAGGGGGAAGAUGUCGAAUACCCUGCUGCCGGAGACGAUAUCCACACCAUUUUUGGCAUGUUGAAGUGACUGAACCAUGGCAAUCAAAGCUGACCUUGCGUCGCCUUCUUCAUACACGCUGGUCAGCGAAGAAUUGAGAGUGAGACAGUACAUUGUGAUCACUUUCAGCGACAUCGUUCAUGACUCCUUUAAACCACUCGAAGGACCCUUGCUCUCUGGUCACCCAGUAGAAGUAAGCUCUUCCUGGCCCAUUGUUCUUGAAGCUGCCUAUCUCAGAACCAUGUAUGCUUUCCACCUCCUGUUGCCAUCAACUCAUUUUAGUUAUCUAUUUCCUCCAGUUAUACAACAUUGUAGGAAAUAAGGAAACACUAUUUAUCAGGGAAGAAUUUUACUUCGUUGGAUUUAA